GGCCAAGUCCUGUGCGAUUUCAAGACGUGAACCCUGUCAGAUCCGGAAGGAAGCAGCAGUAAGCGUAGUUUGAGAUGUGCUGCAGGGUCGCUUGGCUUGA
rnacentral:SRP_RNA from 1 species